CCAGACUCCUACGGGAGGCAGCAGUGGGGAAUAUUGCACAAUGGGCGGAAGCCUGAUGCAGCAACGCCGCGUGCGGGAUGACGGCCUUCGGGUUGUAAACCGCUUUCGCCUGUGACGAAGCGUGAGUGACGGUAAUGGGUAAAGAAGCACCGGCUAACUACGUGCCAGCAGCCGCGGUGAUACGUAGGGUGCGAGCGUUGUCCGGAUUUAUUGGGCGUAAAGGGCUCGUAGGUGGUUGAUCGCGUCGGAAGUGUAAUCUUGGGGCUUAACCCUGAACGUGCUUUCGAUACGGGUUGACUUGAGGAAGGUAGGGGAGAAUGGAAUUCCUGGUGGAGCGGUGGAAUGCGCAGAUAUCAGGAGGAACACCAGUGGCGAAGGCGGUUCUCUGGGCCUUUCCUGACGCUGAGGAGCGAAAGCGUGGGGAGCGAACAGGCUUAGAUACCCUGGUAGUCCACGCUGUAAACGGUGGGUACUAGGUGUGGGGUCCAUUCCACGGGUUCCGUGCCGUAGCUAACGCUUUAAGUACCCCGCCUGGGGAGUACGGCCGCAAGGCUAAAACUCAAAGGAAUUGA
rnacentral:rRNA from 1 species